UACAGGAAAAAAUAAAUAAAUCCCCUCAAUAAAAUAUUUAUAUAUUUAAGUGCAUAAGUAAGUGUGUUCUUCGAAUUUAUGCAGAAAUAUAACUACAAUUACAAUUGCUUGCUGGAUCGCACAAUUUUAUAUUAAAUACGCUCAAUUACAGCGGCUGAUCAAACAGAUAUACUUUCAACACAAAACUUGUACAAAAUGACAAUGACAUGCUGAAUUGACAGUAAACACAAAUUUUUAUGCUCAGCAGCAACAGCGACGGACAGUUUGGUGCAAAUCAAAAGCGCAAAGAGCAUGAAGUGGAAUAACCACAGAAGAGCAGACAAAAUUGAACAAAUGGAGGACGAGCGAAAGUUAAAUUGAAAAUGCAAACAAGCGCUGGUACAGGAAAAAGGCGCAUGUGGAAAACGUGGAGUGCAAAAUAGUGGCACUAACUAACAAAAAGUAGUG